GGGUUGUGAGGUUAAGCGACCAAGCGUACACGGUGGAUGCCCUGGCAGUCAGAGGCGAUGAAGGACGUGCUAAUCUGCGAAAAGCGCCGGUAAGGUGAUAUGAACCGUUAUAACCGGCGAUGUCCGAAUGGGGAAACCCAGUGUGACUCGUCACACUAUCAUUAACUGAAUCCAUAGGUUAAUGAGGCGAACCGGGGGAACUGAAACAUCUAAGUACCCCGAGGAAAAGAAAUCAACCGAGAUUCCCCCAGUAGCGGCGAGCGAACGGGGAGGAGUCCAGAGCCUGAAUCAGCAUGUGUGUUAGUGGAAGCGUCUGGAAAGGCGCGCGAUACAGGGUGAGAGCCCCGUACACAAAAGCGCAUAUGCUGUGAGCUCGAUGAGUAGGGCGGGACACGUGGUAUCCUGUCUGAAUAUGGGGGGACCAUCCUCCAAGGCUAAAUACUCCUGACUGACCGAUAGUGAACCAGUACCGUGAGGGAAAGGCGAAAAGAACCCCGGCGAGGGGAGUGAAACAGAACCUGAAACCGUGUACGUACAAGCAGUGGGAGCCUCUCUUUAUGGGGGUGACUGCGUACCUUUGUAUAAUGGGUCAGCGACUUAUAUUCUGUAGCAAGGUUAACCGCAUAGGGGAGCCGAAGGAAACCGAGUCUUAACCGGGCGUUAAGUUGCAGGGUAUAGACCCGAAACCCGGUGAUCUAGCCAUGGGCAGGUUGAAGGUUGGGUAACACUAACUGGAGGACCGAACCGACUAAUGUUGAAAAAUUAGCGGAUGACCUGUGGCUGGGGGUGAAAGGCCAAUCAAACCGGGAGAUAGCUGGUUCUCCCCGAAAGCUAUUUAGGUAGCGCCUCGUGAACUCAUCUCCGGGGGUAGAGCACUGUUUCGGCUAGGGGGCCAUCCCGGCUUACCAACCCGAUGCAAACUGCGAAUACCGGAGAAUGUUAUCACGGGAGACACACGGCGGGUGCUAACGUCCGUCGUGAAGAGGGAAACAACCCAGACCGCCAGCUAAGGUCCCAAAGUCAUGGUUAAGUGGGAAACGAUGUGGGAAGGCCCAGACAGCCAGGAUGUUGGCUUAGAAGCAGCCAUCAUUUAAAGAAAGCGUAAUAGCUCACUGGUCGAGUCGGCCUGCGCGGAAGAUGUAACGGGGCUAAACCAUGCACCGAAGCUGCGGCAGCGACACUUUAGUGUUGUUGGGUAGGGGAGCGUUCUGUAAGCCGUUGAAGGUGUCCUGUGAGGGGUGCUGGAGGUAUCAGAAGUGCGAAUGCUGACAUAAGUAACGAUAAAGCGGGUGAAAAGCCCGCUCGCCGGAAGACCAAGGGUUCCUGUCCAACGUUAAUCGGGGCAGGGUGAGUCGACCCCUAAGGCGAGGCCGAAAGGCGUAGUCGAUGGGAAACGGGUUAAUAUUCCCGUACUUGGUGUUACUGCGAAGGGGGGACGGAGAAGGCUAUGUUGGCCGGGCGACGGUUGUCCCGGUUUAAGCGUGUAGGUGUGUGUUCCAGGCAAAUCCGGUUCACUUUAACACUGAGGCGUGAUGACGAGGCACCACGGUGCUGAAGCAACAAAUGCCCUGCUUCCAGGAAAAGCCUCUAAGCAUCAGGUAACAUCAAAUCGUACCCCAAACCGACACAGGUGGUCAGGUAGAGAAUACCAAGGCGCUUGAGAGAACUCGGGUGAAGGAACUAGGCAAAAUGGUGCCGUAACUUCGGGAGAAGGCACGCUGACACGUAGGUGAAGUGAUUUACUCACGGAGCUGAAGUCAGUCGAAGAUACCAGCUGGCUGCAACUGUUUAUUAAAAACACAGCACUGUGCAAACACGAAAGUGGACGUAUACGGUGUGACGCCUGCCCGGUGCCGGAAGGUUAAUUGAUGGGGUCAGCGCAAGCGAAGCUCCUGAUCGAAGCCCCGGUAAACGGCGGCCGUAACUAUAACGGUCCUAAGGUAGCGAAAUUCCUUGUCGGGUAAGUUCCGACCUGCACGAAUGGCGUAAUGAUGGCCAGGCUGUCUCCACCCGAGACUCAGUGAAAUUGAACUCGCUGUGAAGAUGCAGUGUACCCGCGGCAAGACGGAAAGACCCCGUGAACCUUUACUAUAGCUUGACACUGAACAUUGAGCCUUGAUGUGUAGGAUAGGUGGGAGGCUUUGAAGCGUGGACGCCAGUCUGCGUGGAGCCAACCUUGAAAUACCACCCUUUAAUGUUUGAUGUUCUAACGUGGACCCGUAAUCCGGGUUGCGGACAGUGUCUGGUGGGUAGUUUGACUGGGGCGGUCUCCUCCUAAAGAGUAACGGAGGAGCACGAAGGUUGGCUAAUCCUGGUCGGACAUCAGGAGGUUAGUGCAAUGGCAUAAGCCAGCUUGACUGCGAGCGUGACGGCGCGAGCAGGUGCGAAAGCAGGUCAUAGUGAUCCGGUGGUUCUGAAUGGAAGGGCCAUCGCUCAACGGAUAAAAGGUACUCCGGGGAUAACAGGCUGAUACCGCCCAAGAGUUCAUAUCGACGGCGGUGUUUGGCACCUCGAUGUCGGCUCAUCACAUCCUGGGGCUGAAGUAGGUCCCAAGGGUAUGGCUGUUCGCCAUUUAAAGUGGUACGCGAGCUGGGUUUAGAACGUCGUGAGACAGUUCGGUCCCUAUCUGCCGUGGGCGCUGGAAGACUGAGGGGGGCUGCUCCUAGUACGAGAGGACCGGAGUGGACGCAUCACUGGUGUUCGGGUUGUCAUGCCAAUGGCACUGCCCGGUAGCUAAAUGCGGAAAAGAUAAGUGCUGAAAGCAUCUAAGCACGAAACUUGCCCCGAGAUGAGUCUUCCCUGAGACUUUGAGUCUCCUGAAGGAACGUUAAAGACGAUGACGUUGAUAGGCCGGGUGUGUAAGCGCAGCGAUGCGUUGAGCUAACCGGUACUAAUGAACCGUGAGGCUUAACCUUACAACGCCGAAGCUGUU
rnacentral:rRNA from 2 species